rnacentral:rRNA from 1 species
AGUGAACGCUGGCGGCAGGCCUAACACAUGCAAGUCGAACGGCAGCACAGCAGUAGCAAUACUGUGGGUGGCGAGUGGCGGACGGGUGAGGAAUACAUCGGAAUCUACCUUGUCGUGGGGGAUAACGUAGGGAAACUUACGCUAAUACCGCAUACGAACUAUGGUUGAAAGCGGCGGACCGCAAGGCGUCGCGCGAUUGGAUGAGCCGAUGUCCGAUUAGCUAGUUGGCGGGGUAAAGGCCCACCAAGGCGACGAUCGGUAGCUGGUCUGAGAGGAUGAUCAGCCACACUGGAACUGAGACACGGUCCAGACUCCUACGGGAGGCAGCAGUGGGGGAAUAUUGGACAAUGGGCGGCAAGCCUGAUCCAGCCAUGCCGCGUGAGUGAAGAAGGCCUUAGGGUUGUAAAACUACUUUCGCCGGUGAAGAUAAUGACGGUAACCGGAGAAGAAGCCCCGGCUAACUUCGUGCCAGCAGCCGCGGU